UGGCGGCUCUCCGGGGGGCUGGAGGUGCCAGGGGCCCUCAACUGGGAGGUGACCCUGUGUCUGCUGGCCUGCUGGGUGCUGGUCUACUUCUGCGUCUGGAAGGGGGUCAAGUCCACAGGAAAGAUCGUGUACUUCACCGCAACAUUCCCCUACGUGGUCCUCGUCGUGCUCCUGGUGCGUGGCGUGCUGCUGCCCGGCGCCUUGGACGGCAUCAUCUACUAUCUCAAGCCUGACUGGUCGAAGCUGGGGUCCCCUCAGGUGUGGAUAGAUGCCGGGACCCAGAUUUUCUUCUCCUAUGCCAUCGGCCUGGGGGCCCUGACGGCGCUGGGCAGCUACAACCGUUUCAACAACAACUGU